rnacentral:rRNA from 1 species
UUCCGGUUGAUCCUGCCGGAGGCUACCGCUAUUGGAGUUCGAUUAAGCCAUGCGAGUCGCGAGUCUUAGGGACUCGGCGUACCGCUCAGUAACACGUGGGUAACCUGCCCUAUGCUGGGGGAUAACCUCGGGAAACUGAGAAUAAUACCCCAUAGUUCACCACGCCUGGAACGGUGGGUGGACCAAAGCUCCGGCGGCAUAGGAUGGGCCUGCGGCGUAUCAGGUUGUAGGGGGUGUAAUGUACCCUCUAGCCAUCUACGCGUACGGGUGUUGGGAGACAUAGCCCGGAGAUGGAUUCUGAGACACGAAUCCAGACCCUACGGGGUGCAGCAGGCGCGAAAACUUGGCAAUGCGAGCAAUCGUGACCAGGGAACUCCAAGUGCAUCGGGUAAGACCGAUGCUUUUCUAGACUCUUCAAAGGUCUUGGAAUAAGGGGUGGGUAAGGACGGUGCCAGCCGCCGCGGUAAUACCGGCGCCCCAAGUGGUAGUCGCUUUUAUUGGGCCUAAAACGUCCGUAGCCGGUUUGGUACAUUCGUGGGUAAAUCAAGGCGCUCAACGUCUUGAAUUCUGCGAGCACGGCCAGACUUGGGACCGGGUGAGGUGUGGGGUACUCUCAGGGUAGGGGUAAAAUCCUGUCAUCCUGAGAGGACCACCUGUUGCGAAGGCGCCACACUAGAACGGAUCCGACGGUCAGGGACGAAGCCUAGGGGCACGAACCGGAUUAGAUACCCGGGUAGUCCUAGGUGUAAACGCUGUGGACUUGAUGUUGGGAGUGCUCCGAGCACCCUCAGUGUCGAAGCGAAGGUGAUAAGUCCACUGCCUGGGGAGUACGGUCGCAAGGCUGAAACUUAAAGGAAUUGGCGGGGGAGCACUGCAACCUGAGGAUUGUGCGGUUUAAUUGGAGUCAACGCCGG